rnacentral:rRNA from 1 species
GCUGAGGCCCCAGGGUGGGACCGCGGCCUAUCAGGUAGUAGGUGGGGUAACGGCCCACCUAGCCUGCGACGGGUACGGGCCCUGAGAGGGGGAGCCCGGAGAUGGGCACUGAGACAAGGGUCUAGGCCCUAAGGGGCGCAGCAGGCGCGAAGAUUCCGCAAUGCCCGAAAGGGCGACGGAGUGAACCCGAGUGCCACCCGCUGAGGGUGGCUGUUCCCCUGUGUAAAAAGCAGGGGGCAGGAAGGGGAGGGCAAGGCUGGUGGCAGCCGCCGCGGUAAAACCAGCUCCCCGAGGGGUUCCCACGCAUACUGGGCCUAAAGCGUCCGUAGCCGGCCCUGUAAGUCUGCAGUUAAAUCCGCCUGUAGACAGGCGGGUUGCUGCAGAUACUGCAGGGCUAGGGAGCGGGAGGAGCCGGGGGUAUUCCCGGGGGAGCGGUAAAAUGCGUAGAUCCCGGGAGGACCACCAGUGGCGAAGGCGCCCGGCUUGAACGCGUCCGACGGUGAGGGACGAAAGCUGGGGGAGCAAACCGGAUUAGAUACCCGGGUAGUCCCAGCCGUAAACGAUGCCGGCUAGGUGCUGGCCAAGGUUUCGGCCUUGGCCAGUGUCGAAGCGAAGGCAUUAAGCCGGCCGCCUGAGGAGUACGGCCGCAAGGCUGAAACUUGAAGGAAUUGACGGGGGGGCACCACAAGGGGUGAAUGCGUGCGGCUUAAUUGGACUCAACGCCGGGAAUCUUACCGGGGGCGACAGCAGGAUGAAGGUCAGGCUGAAGACCUUACCAGACGCGCUGAGGGGUGGUGCAUGGCCGUCGCCAGCUCGUGCCGUGAGGUGUCCUGUUAAGUCAGGCAACGAGCGAGACCCCCGCCCCUAGUUGCCAGCGGCUUCCUUCGGGAGGGACCGGGCAAACUAGGGGGACCGCCUCCGAAGAGGAGGAGGAAGGUGGGGGCUACGGCAGGUCAGUAUGCCCACUAAUCCCCGCGGGCCGCACGCGGGGCUGCAAUGGGCGGGACAGCGGGAUG